AACGAACGCUGGCGGCAUGCCUAACACAUGCAAGUCGAACGAGACCUUCGGGUCUAGUGGCGCACGGGUGCGUAACGCGUGGGAACCUGCCCUUAGGUUCGGAAUAACUCCCCGAAAGGGGUGCUAAUACCGGAUAAUGUCUUCGGACCAAAGAUUUAUCGCCUUUGGAUGGGCCCGCGUUGGAUUAGCUAGUUGGUAGGGUAAAAGCCUACCAAGGCGACGAUCCAUAGCUGGUCUGAGAGGAUGAUCAGCCACACUGGGACUGAGACACGGCCCAGACCCCUAGAGGAAGGGCGCAGGGGGGAUUAUGGGACAGGGGGGGAAAGCCGAAUCCAGCAGGGCCGGGGAGGUGAUGAGGGCCUUAGGGUUUAAAGGCUCUUUUACCCGGGAUGAUAAUAACGUACCCGGGAAAAAAAGCCCGGGUUAACCCGGG
rnacentral:rRNA from 1 species